AAAAAGGCAAACCCUGAAUUUCCGUGUCCAACUUUGAUUGUCCAUCUUAUAUGAAUUUUUUUUAUAAUUCGUAUUUUCAUUGUUGUUAGAUGAUAAAACAUGAUUAAUAUUUUAUGCGUAACUUGUCUUUUUAAUUUUUUUCAUAAUUUUUUCAAAUAAGACGGACGGUCAAACGUUGGGCACAAAAACCAGGGUU
rnacentral:pre_miRNA from 1 species